UUGUUACUCCCUCUGUCCGAAAAUACUUGUCAUCAAAAUGUAUAAAAAGAGAUGUAUCUAGAACUAAAAUCCGUCUAGAUACAUCUCCUUUUAUCCAUUUUGAUGAUAAGUAUUUCCGGACAGAGGGACUACAAA
rfam:Triticum aestivum genome assembly, contig: Triticum_aestivum_CS42_TGACv1_scaffold_049379_1BS